rnacentral:rRNA from 1 species
GACGAACGCUGGCGGCAUGCUUAACACAUGCAAGUCGAACGGGACGUUCUGCUUUCGUUGCGGACGGGUGGGUAACCGGUUGGAACCUGCGUUUGGGUUCGGCAUAACUCCCCGAAAGAACUGCUAAAAACGGCUGAUGACUUCGGACCAAAGGUUUAUCGCCGUUGGAUGGGGCGUCGUUGGAGUGGCUAGUUGGUAGGGUAAAAGCCUACUAAGUCGACGGUCCGUAGCUGGUCGGAGAGGAUGAUCCACCACACGGGGGCUGAGACACGGCCCCGACUCCUACGGGAGGCAGCAGUGGGGAAUAGUGAACGAGGGGCGAAGGGCUGAUGCAGCACUGCGGGGUGAGUGAUGAAGUUCUGAGGGUUGUAAAGCUCUAUUAGCCGGGAUGAUAGUGACGGUACCGGGAGAAGAAGCUCCGGCUAACUACGUG